rnacentral:rRNA from 2 species
CUUGACGACCAUAGAGCAUUGGAACCACCUGAUCCCAUCCCGAACUCAGCAGUGAAACGAUGCAUCGCCGAUGGUAGUGUGGGGUUUCCCUAUGUGAGAGUAGGUCAUCGUCAAGA